rnacentral:tRNA from 1 species
GUUCAUUUAGUUUAAUUUAAAAUGUUAAUUUGUGACAUUAAGGAUCUUUUUGAGGGUGAGCU